GGUACAAUACUUUAAGUAAAAAGGUUAAGUUUGCGUCUUAAAAUUGAAUGUGUUUCUUGUGCUU
rnacentral:tRNA from 1 species